AAAAACAAAUGCUCUGUAAGGCUACACGUUUAUUAUUGAUACUUUUUAUUACUCCUUUCUAUUCCGGCCCCUCCUAUUCAUUUUCAAAUCAAUGCAUGGUUGCUUUUAAACAACACUGUUGAUUAAGAUCAAUGUAGCAAACCUUGUGCCUGAUAUUACAUGAGAUAAAAGGUUUUAUCCCAUAUGAUGGAUAUUGGCAUAACUCUUUAACUGUAUGUGACCGGCUGUGCAUUUGAUUUGUUGAACACUGAUCUAUACUGGCUGUGUGUGAGUAUGUAUGUAGUUUGCUGUCUCUGAUCCAGCCCCUUCAUUGACCAUUCGAAGCUUUCUCUUGGUGCAUCGCAGUGGAUAACACAGGGGGGUAGAACAUGUCCUCACUAAAACACAGGGAUAGAGAACAAACUCUUCCCCUGUAUCCUGUCAUGAGGUACACUGUCAGCUGAGAUCUACCUGAGUACAUGUGAUUGUGAUCUAGAUACAUCUUGCUGAAAGGAAUCCUUCUGCUGUGACUGCUUUUCUUUUAAUUCUAACUUUUAGCUUGUGUAUCAGUCCUUUUAGUUAUGGCAAAAUACUUGGGGAAUGAGACAUCAUUGGAAUCUUGCACUUACUAACAAUAUAUAGUCUAAAUGCGUUAUUUUGUAUUUCCUUUCUAAAGAGAAUGAAAUGCUAAUCUUGGGUCAAUCUCCUCCGCAGGCUCCUUGAUGCUGGAAACCUGGGUCCUUGCUGUCAUCAAACAUAGGUUGGUUACGGAGUGCGGAACCUCAAAUUUGUUUUCUGAAAAUAAAGUAGCUGAGGCAGAAAGGAGCAGAAAUCAUCAGUGCUUGGGUAAAAGUCAUCUUGUGAUAUAACAAAAUUAUUUGUGCUGAACUGGGUUGUCAGUCUGCACCUUUAAGUAAACCUACUUGUACAGUUUUUUCUUUGCCAUAAUCGGAGCCCAUAUCCCUGAGUUACAUGAAGAGACCUGGAGGAAAGGAAAAAAAUGUGAAUUCAAAAUAUGCAGACAAUUCUUAAAAUGAACUUGUCUGUAUCCAUUAGUCAAGUGUGCUUAUUAUGUAAUCAUACCUGACUUCAAAACAUUUCCAACUUAAAUGACGAUCUAAUAAUUACUUGGGAAUUUUCACCCAACAGAGGUCUGAGGUUUGCUUGUCAGGUAAGUCGCACCUAAAGAACUCUUGCCUUCAUAAAUGGCUUGUGACAUCCUGGGCUCAUUUAUAAACACUGGCCAAAUUUGUACCUGGGCAGCAAACAAUUGGUGAUUAGCUUUUUUUUUUCAGCCAGCUGCAGGUUGAACACUGAAUGUUUGCUAUGAGUUACUACUAGGUGCAAAUUUGGACAGUGUUUAUAAAUAACCCCACUGAGAUUUUACCAGUUUCACUCAUUUCAGACAGUAGAAUUUAAUAUGGUAGAUUUGACCUUAAAAUGUGAAUUUUCGGGCAGCAAUCUGCCUGAGAGAUUGGCCUAUGAACUAGGAAUCUAGAUUUGCAUAAGUACAGUAUUUAUAGAAUAAUGUAAUACCCAGUAGAAGGUUAAUUGAAAUCUCUCAAUAAAUGUUUAAUGUAGGUAGUUUGGAUGAUUUUCCCUUUCAAAAGCCAGUAUUUGUACUAUUUGCAGCCGUUCUACUGCUUACAUGGCUUUGUACAUUAGGAAAAGUAGAUUGUAAGCUCCAUUGGAGCAGGAAUUAAAUUGUUGCCAAUCUUUGUAAAGUAUUUUUACUAUGCAAUUGUAGAAAUAAUUGUACAUGCUAACAGCUUUUAUUUAUAAAGUGUGAAAUGUAUUAACAUGUUAAUAAAGCAUUUUAACAAA